AGUAAUGUAUGGGGAUCUGCCCGAUAGAGGGGGAUAACUACUGGAAACGGUGGCUAAUACCGCAUAAUGUCUACGGACCAAAGCAGGGGCUCUUCGGACCUUGCACUAUCGGAUGAACCCAUAUGGGAUUAGCUAGUAGGUGGGGUAAAGGCUCACCUAGGCGACGAUCUCUAGCUGGCCUGAGAGGAUGAUCAGCCACACUGGGACUGAGACACGGCCCAG
rnacentral:rRNA from 1 species